rnacentral:rRNA from 1 species
UUGGAGGGCAAGUCUGGUGCCAGCAGCCGCGGUAGUUCCAGCUCCAAUAGCGUAUAUUAAAGUUGUUGCAGUUAAAAAGCUCGUAGUUGAAUUUCGGGGUUAGUAGGUUGGUCGUGCCUCAGGUAUGUACUGAUCUCACUGAUUCCUCCUUCCUGAUGAACCGUAAUGCCAUUAAUUUGGUGUUGCGGGGAAACUGGACUGUUACUUUGAAAAAAUUAGAGUGUUUAAAGCAGGCUAACGCUUGAAUACAUUAGCAUGGAAUAAUAGAAUAGGACAGAGGUUCUAUUUUGUUGGUUUCUAGGACCGCUGUAAUGAUUAAUAGGGAUAGUCGGGGGCGUCCGUAUUCAAUUGUCAGAGGUGAAAUUCUUGGAUUUAUUGAAGACGAACUACUGCGAAAGCAUUCGCCAAGGAUGUUUUCAUUAAUCAGUGAACGAAAGUUAGGGGAUCGAAGACGAUCAGAUACCGUCGUAGUCUUAACCAUAAACUAUGCCGACUAGGGAUCGGAUGAUGUUAAUUUUUUAAUGACUCAUUCGGCGCCUUACGGGAAA